rnacentral:rRNA from 1 species
GGCGGCGUGCUUAACACAUGCAAGUCGAACGAUGAAGCCCCUUCGGGGUGGAUUAGUGGCGAACGGGUGAGUAACACGUGGGCAAUCUGCCCUUCACUCUGGGACAAGCCCUGGAAACGGGGUCUAAUACCGGAUACAACCACUGACCGCAUGGUCGGGUGGUGGAAAGCUCCGGCGGUGAAGGAUGAGCCCGCGGCCUAUCAGCUUGUUGGUGAGGUAAUGGCUCACCAAGGCGACGACGGGUAGCCGGCCUGAGAGGGCGACCGGCCACACUGGGACUGAGACACGGCCCAGACUCCUACGGGAGGCAGCAGUGGGGAAUAUUGCACAAUGGGCGAAAGCCUGAUGCAGCGACGCCGCGUGAGGGAUGACGGCCUUCGGGUUGUAAACCUCUUUCAGCAGGGAAGAAGCGAAAGUGACGGUACCUGCAGAAGAAGCGCCGGCUAACUACGUGCCAGCAGCCGCGGUAAUACGUAGGGCGCAAGCGUUGUCCGGAAUUAUUGGGCGUAAAGAGCUCGUAGGCGGCUUGUCACGUCGAUUGUGAAAGCCCGAGGCUUAACCUCGGGUCUGCAGUCGAUACGGGCUAGCUAGAGUGUGGUAGGGGAGAUCGGAAUUCCUGGUGUAGCGGUGAAAUGCGCAGAUAUCAGGAGGAACACCGGUGGCGAAGGCGGAUCUCUGGGCCAUUACUGACGCUGAGGAGCGAAAGCGUGGGGAGCGAACAGGAUUAGAUACCCUGGUAGUCCACGCCGUAAACGGUGGGCACUAGGUGUUGGCGACAUUCCACGUCGUCGGUGCCGCAGCUAACGCAUUAAGUGCCCCGCCUGGGGAGUACGGCCGC